rnacentral:tRNA from 1 species
AGUUACUUUCAUGAAGAAAAUUUGUCUUGAAAAUAAAUUUAAAGUGUUUAAUUCACUUAGUAACUU